GACGAACGCUGGCGGCGUGCUUAACACAUGCAAGUCGAACGAAGUGGCGAACGGGUGAGUAACGCGUAAUCAACCUGCCCUUCAGAGGGGGACAACAGUUGGAAACGACUGCUAAUACCGCUUACGGAAGGAGGGGAUUGUGUCUGAUUAGCUAGGUGGGGGGGUAACGGCCCACCAAGGCGAUGAUCAGUAGCCGGGCUGGAAGGAUGGACGGCCACAUUGGGACUUAGAAAAGGCCCAGACUCCUACGGGAGGCAGCAGUGGGGAAUCUUCCGAAAUGGGCGAAAGGCUGACGGAGCAACGCCGCGUGAGUGAUGAAGGCCUUCGGGUUGUAAAGCUCUGUUAAUCGGGACGCGGUACCGGAAUAGAAAGCCACGGCUAACUACGUGCCAGCAGCCGCGGUAAUUC
rnacentral:rRNA from 1 species